rnacentral:rRNA from 1 species
CUCGCCGGAAGACCAAGGGUUCCUGUCCAACGUUAAUCGGGGCAGGGUGAGUCGACCCCUAAGGCGAGGCCGAAAGGCGUAGUCGAUGGGAAACAGGUUAAUAUUCCCGUACUUGGUGUUACUGCGAAGGGGGGACGGAGAAGGCUAUGUUGGCCGGGCGACGGUUGUCCCGGUUUAAGCGUGUAGGUGUGUGUUCCAGGUAAAUCCGGUUCACUUUAACACUGAGGCGUGAUGACGAGGCACUACGGUGCUGAAGCAACAAAUGCCCUGCUUCCAGGAAAAGCCUCUAAGCAUCAGGUAACAUCAAAUCGUACCCCAAACCGACACAGGUGGUCAGGUAGAGAAUACCAAGGCGCUUGAGAGAACUCGGGUGAAGGAACUAGGCAAAAUGGUGCCGUAACUUCGGGAGAAGGCACGCUGACACGUAGGUGAAGUGAUUUACUCAUGGAGCUGAAGUCAGUCGAAGAUACCAGCUGGCUGCAACUGUUUAUUAAAAACACAGCACUGUGCAAACACGAAAGUGGACGUAUACGGUGUGACGCCUGCCCGGUGCCGGAAGGUUAAUUGAUGGGGUCAGCGCAAGCGAAGCUCCUGAUCGAAGCCCCGGUAAACGGCGGCCGUAACUAUAACGGUCCUAAGGUAGCGAAAUUCCUUGUCGGGUAAGUUCCGACCUGCACGAAUGGCGUAAUGAUGGCCAGGCUGUCUCCACCCGAGACUCAGUGAAAUUGAACUCGCUGUGAAGAUGCAGUGUACCCGCGGCAAGACGGAAAGACCCCGUGAACCUUUACUAUAGCUUGACACUGAACAUUGAGCCUUGAUGUGUAGGAUAGGUGGGAGGCUUUGAAGCGUGGACGCCAGUCUGCGUGGAGCCGACCUUGAAAUACCACCCUUUAAUGUUUGAUGUUCUAACGUGGACCCGUAAUCCGGGUUGCGGACAGUGUCUGGUGGGUAGUUUGACUGGGGCGGUCUCCUCCUAAAGAGUAACGGAGGAGCACGAAGGUUGGCUAAUCCUGGUCGGACAUCAGGAGGUUAGUGCAAUGGCAUAAGCCAGCUUGACUGCGAGCGUGACGGCGCGAGCAGGUGCGAAAGCAGGUCAUAGUGAUCCGGUGGUUCUGAAUGGAAGGGCCAUCGCUCAACGGAUAAAAGGUACUCCGGGGAUAACAGGCUGAUACCGCCCAAGAGUUCAUAUCGACGGCGGUGUUUGGCACCUCGAUGUCGGCUCAUCACAUCCUGGGGCUGAAGUAGGUCCCAAGGGUAUGGCUGUUCGCCAUUUAAAGUGGUACGCGAGCUGGGUUUAGAACGUCGUGAGACAGUUCGGUCCCUAUCUGCCGUGGGCGCUGGAGAACUGAGGGGGGCUGCUCCUAGUACGAGAGGACCGGAGUGGACGCAUCACUGGUGUUCGGGUUGUCAUGCCAAUGGCACUGCCCGGUAGCUAAAUGCGGAAGAGAUAAGUGCUGAAAGCAUCUAAGCACGAAACUUGCCCCGAGAUGAGUUCUCCCUGAGACUUAGAGUCUCCUGAAGGAACGUUGAAGACGACGACGUUGAUAGGCCGGGUGUGUAAGCGCAGCGAUGCGUUGAGCUAACCGGUACUAAUGAACCGUGAGGCUUAACCUUACAACGCCGAAG